rnacentral:rRNA from 1 species
GACAGGGGAUGCAAGCGUUAUCCGGAAUGAUUGGGCGUAAAGCGUCUGUAGGUGGCUUUUUAAGUCUGCCGUCAAAUCCCAGGGCUCAACUCUGGCCAGGCGGUGGAGACUAAAAAGCUGGAGUAUGGAAGAGGUAGAGGGAAUUUCCGGUGGAGCGGUGAAAUGCGUAGAGAUCGGAAAGAACACCAAGGGCGAAGGCACUCUGCUGGGCCGAAACUGACACUGAGAGACGAGAGCUAGGGGAGCAAAUGGG